AAUGUGGUUAAUGAUGCACAACUUUUUUCCCCGUCAUAUCGACCAUGGUGAAAGAAAACACAAAACCAAAAGCCAAUUUUGUCUGAAACCACAGU